AUUGAACGCUGGCGGCAGGCUUAACACAUGCAAGUCGAGCGGAGUGAUGGUGCUUGCACUAUCACUUAGCGGCGGACGGGUGAGUAAUGCUUAGGAAUCUGCCUAUUAGUGGGGGACAACAUCUCGAAAGGGAUGCUAAUACCGCAUACGUCCUACGGGAGAAAGCAGGGGAUCACUUGUGACCUUGCGCUAAUAGAUGAGACUAAGUCGGAUUAGCUAGUUGGUGGGGUAAAGGCCUACCGAGGCGACGAUCUGUAGCGGGUCUGAGAGGAUGAUCCGCCACACUGGGACUGAGACACGGCCCAGACUCCUACGGGAGGCAGCAGUGGGGAAUAUUGGACAAUGGGGGGAACCCUGAUCCAGCCAUGCCGCGUGUGUGAAGAAGGCCUUAUGGUUGUAAAGCACUUUAAGCGAGGAGGAGGCUCUUUUGGUUAAUACCCAAGAUGAGUGGACGUUACUCGCAGAAUAAGCACCGGCUAACUCUGUGCCAGCCGCCGCAGUAAAAC
rnacentral:rRNA from 1 species